GUUCCGAUCAGUUGUUGUGUUUUUAGCUGUGAUAUCGGUGACCUUUGCAGGUCUCGCGUUUAUGAUACCGGAUCCUAAGCCAGAUAAAUACAUUGCAGUGUUGCCGUUGCGGUGCCUCCUUGUAAAUUAGUAAAGCAUAAAGAUGUCAUCUUAUACCCGUAUCCUAUGUGUUGCCCGAAUAUUGAAUGUUAAUCUAAUAAAUGAAAAUAUCUAUAUAA